CUGAAUAAUUCUCCCCUCUGGCGUGAACUUGUGUGAAUCUCACACAAAUAAAUUAAAUUUUAAAAGGUUUACAAAGAGACUUUGUGUUAUCAAAUUUAUGCACAUAUUCUUUGAACCUUUAGCGAGCCACUCAGAAACUAGCUACCGUGUUUAUUCAUAAAAUAAAAAUGGUUUUAUGUGUAAUCUGAAUCAGAAAAUUCUGAAACUCAACCAAAAAGCUUCUUUACUUUUCUGUUCAUUUCAGACUACUGUACCUUUGGCCUUCUCCCACAAUGAUGCCGCAAUACAUCUAUAAUCAGCAUAAUCGGAGCAGCAUGUUU